rnacentral:rRNA from 1 species
CCUACGGGUGGCAGCAGUGGGGAAUAUUGCACAAUGGGGGGAACCCUGAUGCAGCGACGCCGCGUGAGUGAAGAAGUAUUUCGGUAUGUACAGCUCUAUCAGCAGGGAAGAAAAUGACGGUACCUGACUAAGAAGCCCCGGCUAACUACGUGCCAGCAGCCGCGGUAAUACGUAGGGGGCAAUCGUUAUUCGGAUUUACUGGGUGUAAAGGGAGCGUAGACGGUUAUGCAAGUCUGAAGUGAAAGCCCAGGGCUCAACCAUGGGACUGCUUUGGAAACUGUAAAACUGGAGUGCAGGAGAGGUAAGCGGAAUUCCUAGUGUAGCGGUGAAAUGCGUAGAUAUUAGGAGGAACACCAGUGGCGAAGGCGGCUUACUGGACUGUAACUGACGUUGAGGCUCGAAGGCGUGGGGAGCAAACAGGAUUAGAUACCCGGGUAGUC